rnacentral:rRNA from 1 species
UACAGAGGGGGCAAGCGUUAUUCGGAAUUAUUGGGCGUAAAGGGCGCGUAGGCGGCCUGGCAAGUGACGGGUGAAAGCCCUCGGCUUAACCGAGGAGCUGCCUGUCAGACUGUUAGGCUUGAGACCGGGAGAGGUGAGUGGAAUUCCCAGUGUAGCGGUGAAAUGCGUAGAUAUUGGGAGGAACACCAGUGGCGAAGGCGGCUCACUGGACCGGUACUGACGCUGAGGCGCGAAAGCGUGGGGAGCAAACAGG